rnacentral:tmRNA from 1 species
GGGGGCGACACGGUUUCGACGUGAGUCACUGAGGGUUCGGUUGCAAGCCGAGGAUGGCGGUUGGCCUCGUUAAAAUCCGCCAAGCCUUCAAACGGCAACCAAAGCGACUCGUUCGCACUCGCUGCUUGAUAGCAGCGCGCCCGCUAGAAGCUCGGCCGUUGGCUCGCUAGUUGAGGCGCUCUAAUGACGGCUAGGUCCUGAGUUCGUGCGUUGACUCCUGACCGAAGAUGAAGACGCAUAGGCACUGGGCAGACGCCCGUUCCUGAGCCGACCCAGUGCCGAAAUUUGAUCGGGGACUAAGCUUGUAGAGGCCCACCUGAAGGGCUUGCGGACGCGGGUUCGACUCCCGCCGCCUCCACCA